rnacentral:rRNA from 1 species
UACGUAGGGAGCAAGCGUUGUCCGGAAUCAUUGGGCGUAAAGCGCGCGUAGGUGGCCUCAUAAGUCCGCUGUGAAAGUCAAAGGCUCAACCUUUGAAAGCCGGUGGAUACUGUGAGGCUAGAGUACGGAAGAGGCGAGUGGAAUUCCUGGUGUAGCGGUGGAAUGCGCAGAUAUCAGGAGGAACACCAAUAGCGAAGGCAGCUCGCUGGGACGUUACUGACGCUGGAGACGCGAAAGCGUGGGGAGCAAACAGG